rnacentral:rRNA from 1 species
UGGGGAAUUUUGGACAAUGGGCGAAAGCCUGAUCCAGCCAUGCCGCGUGAGUGAAGAAGGCCUUCGGGUUGUAAAGCUCUUUUAGUCGGAAAGAAAGAGUUGCAAUGAAUAAUUGUGAUUUAUGACGGUACCGACAGAAAAAGCACCGGCUAACUACGUGCCAGCAGCCGCGGUAAUACGUAGGGUGCGAGCGUUAAUCGGAAUUACUGGGCGUAAAGGGUGCGCAGGCGGUCUUGCAAGUCAGAUGUGAAAGCCCCGGGCUUAACCUGGGAAUUGCGUUUGNAACUACAAGGCUAGAGUGCAGCAGAGGGGGGUGGAAUUCCAUGUGUAGCAGUGAAAUGCGUAGAGAUGUGGAAGAACACCGAUGGCGAAGGCAGCUCCCUGGGUUGACACUGACGCUCAUGCACGAAAGCGUGGGGAGCAAACA